ensembl:lncRNA
GUUAGGGUUAGGGUUAGGGUUAUGAUUAGGUUAGGUUUAGGGUUAGGGUUAGGGUUAGGGUUAGAGUUAGGAUUAGGAUUAGGUUUAGGGUUAAGGUUAGGGUUAGGGUUAGGGUUAGGGUUAGGGUUAGGGUUAGGGUAGCGUUAGGGUUAGGGUUAGGGUUAAGGUUAGGGUUAGGGUUAGGGUUAGGGUUAGGGUAGGUUUACGGUUAGGGUUAGGGUUAGGGUGAGGUUAGGGUUAGGGUUAGGGUUAGGGUUAGGAUCAGGCUUAGGAUUAGGUUUAGGGUUAGGUUAGGGUUAGGGUUACCGUUAGGGUUAGGGUUAGUGUAGGGUUAGGGUUAGGGUUUGGGUAGGGUUAGGAUUAUGGUUAGGGUUAGGGUUAGGGUUAGGGUUAGGGUUAGGGUUAGGGUUAGGGUUAGGGUUAGGGUUAGGCUUAGGGUUAGGGUUAGGGUUAGGGUUAGGCUGGGGUUAAGGUUAGGGUUAGGGUUAGGGUUAGUGUAGGGUUAGGGUUAGGGUUCUGGUUAGGGUUACGGUUAGGGUUAGGUUUACGGUUGGGUUAGGGUUUGGUUCGGUUUAGGGUUAGGGUUCGGGUUCGGGUUCGGGUUAGGGUUAGGGUUAGAGUUAGAGUUAGGGUACGGUUUGGGUUAGGGUUAGGGUUAGGGUUUGGGUUAUGUUUAGGGUUAGGGUUAGGGUUUGGGUUAGGUUUAGGGUAGGGUUAGGGUUAGGGUUAGGGUUAGGGUUAGGAUUAGGAUUAGGGUUAGGGUUAGGGUUAGGGUUAGGUUAGGGUUUGGGUUAGGGUUAGGGUCAGGGUCAGGGUUAGGGUUUGGGUUAUUAGGGUUAGGGUUAGGGUUAGGGUUAGGGUUAGGGUUAGGGUUAGGGUUAGGGUUAGGGUUAGGGUUAGGGUUAGGGUUAGGGUUAGGGUUAGGGUUAGCGUAAGUGUCAGGGUUAGGGUUAGGGUUAAGGUAGUGUUAGGGUUAGAGUUAGGUUUAGGGUUAGGGUUAGGGUUAGGAUUAGUUUUAGGGUUAGGGUUAGGGUUAGGUUAGGGUUAUGGUUAGGGUUAGGGUUAGGGUUAGGGUUAGGAUUAAGGAUUGGGAAGGGUUCGGGUUUGGGUUAGGGUUAGGGUUAGGGUUAUGGUUAGGGUUAGGGGUAGGGUUAGGGUUAGGGUUAGGGUUGUGGUUAGGGUUUGGGUUAGGGUUAGGGUUAGGGUCAGGGUUAGGGUUUGGGUUAUUAGGGUUAGUGUUAGGGUUAGGGUUAGGGUUAGGGUAAGGGUUAGGGUUAGGGUUAGGGUUAGGGUAGUGUUAGGGUUAGAUUUAGGUUUAGGGUUAGGGUUAGGGUUAGGGUUAGGUUUAGGGAUAGGGUAGGGUUAGGUUAGGGUUAUGGUUAGGGUAAGGGUUAGGGUUAGGUUUAGGGUUAAGGAUUGGGUAGGUUUCGGGUUUGGGUUAGGGUUAGGGUUAGGGUUAGGGUUAGGGUUAGGGUUAGGUUAGGGUUAGGGUUAUGGUUAGGGUUAGGGUUAUGGUUAGGGUUUGGAUAGGGUUAGGGUUUGGGUUAGGGUUAGUGUUAGGGUUAGGGUUAGGGUUAGGUUUAGGUUAGGGUUAGGGUUAGGAUAAGGGUUAGGUUAGGGUUACGGUUGGGUUCGGGUUAGGGUUAGGGUUAGGGUUAUGGUUAGGUUAGGGUUAUGGUUAGGGUUAGGGUUAGGUUAGGUUUAGGGAUAGGGUUAGAGUUUGGGUUAGGGUUAGGGUUAGUGUUUGGGUAGGGUUAGGGUUAGGGUUAGGGUUAGGGUAAGGGUUAGGGUUAGGGUUAGGGUUAAGUUACGGUUAGGGUUAGGGUAAGGUUUAGGUUAGGGUUAGGGUUGGGUUCUGGUUAUGGUUAGUGUUAGGGUUAGGGUUAGGUUAGGGUUAGGGUUAGGGUUCGGUUAGGGUUCGGGUUAGGGUUAGGGUUACGGUUAGGGUUAGGGUUUAGGGUUAGGGUUAGGGUUAGGGUUAGGGUUAGGGUUAGGGUUAGGGUUAGGGUUAGGGGUUGGGUUAGGGUUAGGGUUAGGGUUAGGGUUAGGGUUAGGGUUAGGGUUAGGGUUAGGGUUAGGGUUAGGGUUAGGGUUAGGGGUAGGGUUAGGGUUAGGGUUCGGGUUAGGGUUAGGGUUUAGGGUUAGGGUUAGGGUUAGGGUUAGGGUUAGGGUUAGGGUUAGGGUUAGGGUUAGGGUUAGGGUUAGGGUUAGGGUUAGGGUUAGGGUUAGGGUUAGGGUUAGGGUUAGGGUUAGGGUUAGGGUUAGGGUUAGGGUUAGGGUUAGGGUUAGGGUUAGGGUUAGGGUUAGGGUUAGGGUUAGGUUAGGGUUAGGGUUAGGGUUAGGGUUAGGGUUAGGGUUAGGGUUAGGGUUAUGGUUAGGGUUAGGGUUAGGGUUAGGGUUAGGGUUAGGUUAGGGUUAGGGUUAGGGUUAGGGUUAGGGUUAGGGUUAGGGUUAGGGUUAGGGUUAGGGUUAGGGUUAGGGUUAGGGUUAGGGUUAGGGUUAG